AUGAUAGAAAAAUCAACUGCAUUGUGAUUUCUUGCGUGUAAGUGCACCCAACUUUCAGUCUCACUCAUUUAGUAUAAAAUUGGAAGAGGCCCAACAGCCUUUGUUCAGAGAUGUGGUUCAUGCGUUACUUGCUGGACUUCCUGGAAAAGGAUCCAAAAUAGUGGCUGGCCAGCCCUGUGAAAGGAGCAAUGGCUGGUCAUGAUUCACAUCAAACACCAAGCCCUGACUGCAGAAGCUUGGCAUCUUCUGGAUAUAUUUUGCAAAGAUGACAAAUUUCCUUAGAUAGGCCUCUGCUUAAACAUUAGGUGGAAGAAGAAUUGUUGAUUGUGUUAUAGAGGUCUUUAACCCUCCGGUGACUUCAGACCUUCUGCAUUAGACUGAGACUGCCCUCCAGGAUCUUUGCUACACAUUGUAUAAAACUUCAGUUAUUACAUAUAACUGCCAAGUGUUUGAAAAAGGAAAUAGGUAGUCAAAUUUAUCGGUCUUUCCCCUUGAUCACAGCUGGAUUUUUAGCUAUAAUGAUGAAAGUCAUCUUCACUCCCAAGUUAUAGAGCAAGUCAUCCAUGUUUUUCCCCUGGAAAUUCGAAAAGUCACGUAGCUGGAGCGUGUGCAAAAGAGGAAAUCCUAAUCUGAAAUGACUGAGGAACCGAAGAUCCUCCUUUCCACAGAACUCAAGGAGUGGGACCCGAUGGGAACUUGAAAGUUGGACUCCUAUCAGAAUUGAAGGGUCAGGAAGAGCCGGUGUUAAAUUUCCUUCCCAAUCUCAUCAAAAAGCUUAGAACUCCAUCAUAAAAGUUGAGGACCUCGUAAUAAAUGUUUAGAACCCUGUCAUCAAUGUUUAAAAUCUUACCAUAAAUGUCUGAAGCCCACCAAUCAAAACCCAUAUUGCCAGCGUUUCUUCAUGCCAGCCUGUCCUCUCUAACCUCUUCCAUUUUGCCCCAAAUCCUGAAUCAGGGAGACAGGACUGAAGGCACAUGCCCCCUGUCUCCUUGCAGAUCGAUCUCACAGAAUAAAACUGAUU